AAAGAUCAGCUGCRUUUUUCUGAGUUCAGCUCUGAAGUCCAACCCCUCCCAUCUGAGACAUCUGUACCUGAAUCUCAACAACCUGCUYGAUCCCGAUGUUGAGCAGCUGUUGGAUCUUCAGAAGAGUCCAGAUUACAGUCUGGAGACUCUGAGCUGGAGGUCUCAACCUUUCUUAAGAAGGCUCUGAGCUUUUAUUGUGUUUUUCUGGAAGAAGAGGAGCUGUAUCAUGAUGAUCCACAGAUAUUGAAGCAGGAGUAGCUUGUAUGCAGAGAGACUCUGGACUGAGAGCUUCAUCCAGCAGUGAUUGACAGAGGAAUCAAAAGAAGUGGAGAUGAACUGAUCUGAGAACAGCGCUAUUUUUGUAGAAAAAUAUUUUGCACAUCUGUCUAUCCCAGCAUAAUCCUGAGGCCAAGAGUCAGUGGCCUCUGCUGAGUCUGACCUAAAUGUCAUCAGGUUUUAUGGCCCCGUUGUUUUUCUUAUGUUUUCUCUCAGAUGAAGUGUUUUAUGUUCAGGACAAGCUCUUCUAGAAGUAAUCACUUUUGCACUCUAGAAUAGUUUACCAGUUGUUAUAUUCUCCUUGUCCCAAACCAGGCACCAAACAUUGUCAUCUCAGUUAACAUAUGGAUGUCCGACUACAAAGAAAGGUCUCAAAAAUGGCCUUGAUGCACAAAUUUUCAAAUAAAGAGCUGCACAGUCCUGUUA